UACGAAGGGGGCUAGCGUUGCUCGGAAUGACUGGGCGUAAAGGGCGCGUAGGCGGUUUGUACAGUCAGAUGUGAAAUUCCCGGGCUCAACCUGGGGGCUGCAUUUGAUACGUGCGGACUUGAGUGGGGAAGAGGGUCGUGGAAUUCCCAGUGUAGAGGUGAAAUUCGUAGAUAUUGGGAAGAACAUCGGUGGCGAAGGCGGCGACCUGGUCCUUGACUGACGCUGAGGCGCGAAAGCGUGGGGAGCAAACAGG
rnacentral:rRNA from 1 species